GACGAACGCUGGCGGCGUGCUUAACACAUGCAAGUCGAACGGUAAGGCCCUUCGGGGUACACGAGUGGCGAACGGGUGAGUAACACGUGGGUGAUCUGCCCUGCACUUCGGGAUAAGCCUGGGAAAUUGGGUCUAAUACCGGAUAGGACCACUGCCUGCAUGGGUGGUGGUGGAAAGCUUUUGCGGUGUGGGAUGGGCCCGCGGCCUAUCAGCUUGUUGGUGGGGUGAUGGCCUACCAAGGCGACGACGGGUAGCCAGCCUGAGAGGGUGACCGGCCACACUGGGACUGAGAUACGGCCCAGACUCCUACGGGAGGCAGCAGUGGGGAAUAUUGCACAAUGGGCGCAAGCCUGAUGCAGCGACGCCGCGUGAGGGAUGACGGCCUUCGGGUUGUAAACCUCUUUCAGCACCGACGAAGCGCAAGUGACGGUAGGUGCAGAAGAAGGACCGGCCAACUACGUGCCAGCCGCCGCGGUAA
rnacentral:rRNA from 1 species